UGAACGCGAAGAACCUUACCAAGGCUUGACAUACACCGGAAAGCAUUAGAGAUAGUGCCCCCCUUGUGGUCGGUGUACAGGUGGUGCAUGGCUGUCGUCAGCUCGUGUCGUGAGAUGUUGGGUUAAGUCCCGCAACGAGCGCAACCCUUGUUCUGUGUUGCCAGCAUGCCCUUCGGGGUGAUGGGGACUCACAGGAGACCGCCGGGGUCAACUCGGAGGAAGGUGGGGACGACGUCAAGUCAUCAUGCCCCUUAUGUCUUGGGCUGCACACGUGCUACAAUGGCCGGUACAAUGAGCUGCGAUACCGCAAGGUGGAGCGAAUCUCAAAAAGCCGGUCUCAGUUCGGAUUGGGGUCUGCAACUCGACCCCAUGAAGGUCGGAGUCGCUAGUAAUCGCAGAUCAGCAUUGCUGCGGUGAAUACGUUCCCGGGUCUUGUACACACGCA
rnacentral:rRNA from 1 species